ensembl:lncRNA
GGGACUCCCUGUUUACUCUCUUUUUGUGGAUGUGGAACGGGAAUGUUGUGAAGGAGUUAAAUUGUUGGACCUGUAUGUGCAGCGUGGAGCCGCCAUUUUCUCCAUGCAAGGGAUAAGUUGCCAGAUCGUCUGUGUGCUCCAGUAUUCCAAGUGAGCUGAGAUUUCUGUGGAAUGUUCCUCCUGCUUCGCUGCUGAGACAUUCAGGUUGAGCAUUGACAAGAAGUUUGUCAACAACCGCAUCACAACCCUCACCUCUACCAUCUGCCUAAUGGUUGGCAGUUACUACUGCUUUGACAUACAUUACCCUGUGGAACUACAGUAAAAUUUCUUUUAUUAUUGAUUUAUUUUUGUGCUUAUCAAACUUAGCAUAUGUUGAUGAAAACUUGUUCCUGGAAUUUCUUCAAUUCAGAUUUUCUUUCAGUUAUAGAAAAAAAAGUUUCAUUCUCUAUAUUUGCAUUUGGAUAAUUUGAAAAAGCAAUAUUAUACGUGUACUGAUAUUUAUGUUGUGAGAAGAGCACCAAUAACACUUUGGGGUUUUCAAGUUAUGGUAAAGGUGUCUGAAUUGUCGGCUACAGGUAAUGUAUGAUAAUGUAUGCUCAACUUACAACACUGGUUUUCCACAGUUUGAACAGAACUUGUAAGAAUUCAGUAAUUCUUUACUGUUGCUGUCAU